rnacentral:rRNA from 1 species
AUUGAACGCUGGCGGCAGGCCUAACACAUGCAAGUCGAACGAGCGGCGGACGGGUGAGUAAUGUCUGAGAACCUGCCUGAUAGCGGGGGAUAACUACUGGCAGCGGUAGCUAAUACCGCAUACCACCAGAUGGACCCAGAUGGGAUUAGCUUGUGAGUGGGGUAACGGAUCAACAAGGCGACGAUCCCUAGCUGGUCUGAGAGGAUGCCCAGCCAAACUGGAACUGAGAAACGGUCCAGACUCCGACGGUAGGCAGCAGUGGGGAAUAUGGCACAAUGGGCGCAAGCCUGAUGCAGCCAUGCCGCGUGUAUGAAGAAGGCCUUAGGGUUGUAAAGUACUUUCAGCGGGGAGGCGUUACCCGCAGAAGAAGCACCGGCUAACGCCGUGCCAGCCGCCGCGGUAAUUC